GCUAGAUGGGCUCAGGAGUUCAAGUUUUGGUAACUGGGCUUAAGAUUUUCAGGGAUAGUGAUCUCAUAUGUACGUCGUUAUGUAGCGCGCUAUAGCGUAACAGUGUUGAAAGGCGUAUCUGCGAAACUACUGGCUAAGUUGAUGCCGGAACAUGCUUGGAAGCAAUAUCCCUCGCUCGGACUUUAGGUUGUAACACUGUUUUGUGUAUUCUGUAUUCUAAUUUGUAUUUUUUUAAUUGUGUUCCACAUGUUUUGUGUAUUCUGUAUUCGAUCAGUGUCUAACAUUUUUAGACAUUCAAUUGUGUUCCAAGCAUGUUAUGUAUUCAAUUAAUCACAUUUUUAAUUGAACCAUGUGCUAAUAACAUUACAUCUUUUACAUCUUUUA